ACGAGUGAAAGCGGUGGAACUGUGGAAGCGUGUUCGAAUGCUGUGCAUUUUUCUUUAGUGUCUAAUUUGUAAAUUCUUUUUUCAUCAAUUUGUAAUUUAACAUCAAUUUAGUAGUUUAGUUAUAUUGUUUAAGUGAUUUAGCAGUGUAGUUUUAAGCUAAAAUAUAUAUAUUUUAAACUAAGUAUAAGAGUAUAAGCUGAUUUUGAUAAGGUCAUACGAUGACCCCCCCAACGAAGGAGGCGUUAGAGAGAAUGCGCCGGGCCAAACUUAUUUUUUUACGAAAAAAGCAGGCGCUAAAUCAGACAUGCCAUCUCGACUCGAUCGGAACAGCGGGGCGGGAAGAAAGCGAGAGCUUGCAUCGUGGGCAACAUCAAAAUUACCGUUCCCGCAAGAUGACAGAGAAGGAUUUGUUGUAGCCAUUGAUAUCGACCGAGAGAAUAAUAAGUUCAGACUUGUAGUAUCUUCGAAAAAACUGUUAUCUAUUGUAGAACAGUUCUCCGUUAUAUCUGCCGAUUGCACGUUCAAAGUGACAAUGGA